AUAUUUCACAGUUCUUUUGAACUCCUUCAAUUCUGCUUUGCUCAUAGACCACAGCAUCUUCUCUGAUGAGGGCAUGACAUGCUGGGUGGUCCUGUGCCAGUCUCCAUGCAUUUAUUCUACAGUUCUUAAAAGGAUCUUGAGAGCGUCCUUAUAUUGCUUUUUCUGACCACUCUUUUUCUUAGUCAUUCUAAUACCUUUCUUCUCCCACACUUUCCUUUGAAGCCUCCCAAAUACUGAGCUAAUUCUGGCAAUGUGUGUUACAACCUCAUUAUCAACAUGUAUAUCCCUGGAAACUAUACUGCCAAGAUGAGUGAACUUAGAUAAUGCUUAGCAUUAGCUCCAUUUAGUUUUGCUUUAGCAGUUAAGUAUUUUUAAAUUAAUGUUUGUAUAUUUUAAAGACAUGUAAACCACAUAUAUAGUGUAAACAUGACUUUUAUAUGCACUGGGAAACCAAAAAAUUCAUAUGACUUAUUUUAUUGCAAUAUUCACUUUACUGUGGUACUCUUAAGAACUGAGCCCACAAUGUCUCCAAGGUAGUCUGAACUUUAGCUUGUUCAGUCAUUCCUCAGUUGAUCAACUUCAAACUUGAUGUUAGGAGCAAGAAAUGUUUAAGCCAGUCCUGAUGCUGCUUUCUUGGUUGUAUUAAGUGCUGUGCUGUUCCGAGGAACAGCUUUGAUUGUGCACCUGCAAGCUUUCAGUGCUCCCACAGAUUCAGAGCAAAGUCUAGACCUCAACUCUGAAAGUUCCUGAAUUAGUUUUGAUUUUGAGCAAUAAACCACCAUUCAGCCACUACCAACCAGCUGGAAACUUCAGUUGGUUCAAAGUGACAGAACUUCUAAUAUAGGAGUCCUAUCCUGGUUACUCUUCUGCAGGUAUCGGACUGCAAUACAGGCUGGAACCGAGACUGCAUUGCUCCUUGGGUCUUAGCAUGAAGCUGGCCGCGUUUUAACUCUGAACGCCAAGGCAGGCUGCCUCCAGAAGUUCCCCACGAAACCUGCUCCCGGAGAACGCGAUCUUCCAGAGAAGAGAACACUGCAAUCUGCAGGGACUCCACCCCUCCACAAAGGUAUGCAGCCAGGGCGUGUUCUGAUAUUUGCUCUCUCGGGUUUUUUUUGUAAUUUUGCAAUAUUGAUUUCUGAUUGUUUUUCCGGAUACUUUUUCUGUUUAAGUUGUUGAAGUCAUUCCGUAUUCAGGAGGUCCCAAUUAAUGCUAACAAGAAAUGCCCUUAAGCGGUGGUAUUAUUCGAACUUAGUAUACUUCCAUUGCACUGAAGCCAGUUACCAUAUUUUACAUAAUUAUAACUUCAAAUAGUGUGAAUUCGAAUACUUGUACUGUUUUUCUUGGCUCAAAAGUAG
rnacentral:lncRNA from 1 species